rnacentral:lncRNA from 12 species
CAAAUAUUUUACAAUGAAAUUUCUUGUCCUGCCUUGCAGAGCACAUCAUUUAAACAAACCAGUAACAGAAGAAGAGCAAGGGAAAAAAGAAGGAAAUGGAAAUUCAGGAGCAGAAAAAGAGAGAAGCUGUGAGCUGAGGGAGAAGUGACAAGGCUGCACGAUCAGAGUGCACAAAGUGAAAGCUGGAAGAAGAGACACCAGCUCCUGCUGAUGAAACAGUUAAUGAAGUGCAGUUAAACCAAGUGAGUGUGAUGUGUG